rnacentral:misc_RNA from 1 species
UUAAGUUCAGCGGGUAUCCCUACCUGAUCCGAGGUCAACCUGAUAAAAAUUGGGGUUGUUGGCAAGCAACCGACCGGACCCUAUAGCGAGGAGUAUUACUACGCUUAGAGCCGACCGGCACCGCCACUGAUUUUAGAGGCCGCUGGUGGGCGGGCCCCAAUACCAAGCUAAGCUUGAGUGGUAUAAUGACGCUCGAACAG